GCGGUAAUACCAGCUCUCCGAGUGGUAGGGACGAUUAUUUGGCCUAAAGCGUUCGUAGCCGGCCUGGCAAGUCUCUCGUUAAAUCCAGCGACCUAAUCGCUGGGCUGCGGGGGAUACUGUCGGGCUUGGGAGCGGGAGAAGCCGACGGUAUUCCCGGGGUAGGAGUGAAAUCCUGUAAUCCCGG
rnacentral:rRNA from 1 species